AGAGUGGGUAAAGAGGGCGUUCUGCAUCACAGUCUUGUGCUGUUGCUUCGUAAGAGAGCCAGGAGUAAUACCCUAGCACAGCACAAAAUGGAAGUGGGAAAGGUGUUUGGAGCAUCUGAGGCUAGAACAAACUGAUGCUGAUAGACUCACUGAGAACUCCACCAGGAAAAAAUAAAAAGAAAAGUUGUAGAUUAAUAAAAAUUUCUUCAGAAGGACGGGAUAAGUUGAAGAUGGGACUAACGUACACAGAUGUUUGAAUGGACUUUAUUCUUCAUUAAAAUACAACUGCUGGUGGGAUUAAGGAAGGAGUAUGUCACCACUGAGAUUAUGAAGCAGUGGGUGUCUUCAAGAAGACGAAUACACAAGAAUAGGUAAGAACAUUGCUAGUGACUUCUAUAUGAACUAAACAUAUUAUGACCUUUCACAGACUGAAGCAUGGACUCACUCAGCUGCAUACUCCUUGUGUACUUUGGCCAUGUCAUGCAGAGCUCUGGCUGCCAAAGGACUUCAGCAGCUUUCAAACACGUGUUCAGCUACUGCACUUGUUUGAUGUUUUUGUUUUUACCAGGAAAACUGUCUCACUGACUGUGUUAAUCCUUUUCUAGUAUGUGCAUAAAGACAUCUGUGCAUAGUCCACCAGUCCCCUAACUGAUUCUAUAUGCUGUGGUGUGAGGAGAGGUAUGCACAGACUGAACUGGCCUCUGUACAGAAUGAAGUAGCAGUGAUUUGCCUGUUGUGCAACUUCUACUUGUCAAAAUAAUUCCAUGGU
rnacentral:lncRNA from 7 species